rnacentral:lncRNA from 1 species
CUGGGACCAUGCAGAGACCCAGAAGGAGACUAUGAACAUAAAGCAGGAGGGAGAGGACCGGGCUGAGCUGGGGCAGAGGAGACGCGGAGGCCGGGGCAUCUCAGCUCUAAUGCUGCCCACUGACCCUUUGGAGAAGUCCAGAGCCACUUCUCACCCUUCUGUGUAUGCUUUGGCGUUGGGUUACACAAGGGACGUGGAGAAGCAUGCACAUUGCCAGCCCUGAUCCCACUCCCACCGGAUUUCUCGGAGCCACGGCUGCAGGUUCACUGCCCCGAUAUCACAGCUUCUCACCAAAGUAUACUGGGUGUUUUCCUGUAUAUAUCUAUUCUUCACAAUAACUCACUGACGUUGGUUUUAUGGCUUAACUUCACUGAGAAGUGAUGGUGGAAUGGAAAGAGGACAGUUCCUUUGAGUCCAGCAGAUGUGGACUUAAAUCCACAUCCCAACCACAUCUUAGCCCCGUAAACAGGCAUGCUGACGCAGAGCUGAGUGUGACAGCGACGAUCCAAAUCCUAGAAACCAGCAGACUCAGUGGCGUCUAAAGCGUUUGCAAACAUGUUCCAGCAGAGUGGAUCUAUUGAAAGUUCAGAUGUUGGUGGCUAAUACUUUUCUUUUUUAAAGUCCUUACAGAAUUGACUGACAAAGUCCAUUGAAAACUGAACAAAGUAAGAAAAAUUGCCCAAUCGUGUUGGACUACAAAUUAAAAAAAGUAUUUUAAAUGACACCUUCUCCCUGACUGGGACAUGGUGGCUUAUCAAACAAAGGCUGCAGAUGUGCACUCUGCUUGGCAGGAGGGGCAGGUGUCUCGUGGGGGUCCUCUCCACCCAGGUCUCUUUCAUAGGUGGUGAAAUGCAAGGCAGACAUGAAGUCGGAGGGAACAGGGGAAAGAAGGGUCUUUGAGCCAUUCUCUGGUGCAAUUUGUACCAUGGAAAUUUAGUUUUGAUUUUUUCCAUAUGAAUCAUGAAAAACAUGAAACAUGCAGGGGGUUUAUCAUAAUUCGCAAUGAGA